AUUGAACGCUGGCGGCAGGCCUAACACAUGCAAGUCGAACGAGAGGCGGACGGGGGAGAAAUGUGUGGGGAACUGCCCGAUGGAGGGGGGUAAAAACAGGAAAAGGUAGAUAAAACAGCAUACGACAGGAUGUGCCCCGAUGGGAUUAGCUUGUAGGGGAGGUAACGGCUCACCUCGGCGACGAUCCCUAGCUGGUCUGAGAGGAUGACCAGCCACCCUGGAACUGAGACACGGCCCAGACUCCUACGGGAGGCAGCAGUGGGGAAUAUUGCACAAUGGGCGCAAGCCUGAUGCAGCCAUGCCGCGUGUAUGAAGAAGGCCUUCGGGUUGUAAAGUACUUUCAGCGGGGAGGCGUUACCCGCAGAAGAAGCACCGGCUAACUCCGUGCCAGCAGCCGCGGUAAUUC
rnacentral:rRNA from 1 species